rnacentral:rRNA from 1 species
GAUGAACGCUGGCGGCGUGCCUAAUACAUGCAAGUCGAGCGAAUGGAUUAAGAGCUUGCUCUUAUGAAGUUAGCGGCGGACGGGUGAGUAACGCGUGGGUAACCUGCCCAUAAGACUGGGAUAACUCCGGGAAACCGGGGCUAAUACCGGAUAACAUUUUGAACCGCAUGGUUCGAAAUUGAGAGGCGGCUUUGGCUGUCACUUAUGGAUGGACCCGCGUCGCAUUAGCUAGUUGGUGAGGUAACGGCUCACCAAGGCAACGAUGCGUAGCCGACCUGGGAGGGUGAGCGGCCACACUGGGACUGGGACACGGCCCAGACUCCUACGGGAGGCAGCAGUAGGGAAUCUUCCGCAAUGGACGAAAGUCUGACGGAGCAACGCCGCGUGAGUGAUGAAGGCUUUCGGGUCGUAAAACUCUGUUGUUAGGGAAGAACAAGUGCUAGUUGAAUAAGCUGGCACCUUGACGGUACCUAACCAGAAAGCCACGGCUAACUACGUGCCAGCCGCCGCCGUAA